CGGGACGGGUGAGUAAUGUCUGGGAAACUGCCUGAUGGAGGGGGAUAACUACUGGAAACGGUAGCUAAUACCGCAUAACGUCGCAAGACCAAAGAGGGGGACCUUCGGGCCUCUUGCCAUCGGAUGUGCCCAGAUGGGAUUAGCUAGUAGGUGGGGUAACGGCUCACCUAGGCGACGAUCCCUAGCUGGUCUGAGAGGAUGGCCAGCCACACUGGGACUGAGACACGGUCCAG
rnacentral:rRNA from 1 species